GCAGUGGUAGUUCAGCGGUAGAAUCCUUGCCUUCCAUGCAGGAGACAUGGGCUCAAUUUCCAGCCAGUGAA
rnacentral:tRNA from 1 species